rnacentral:rRNA from 1 species
ACUGAACGCUGGCGGCAUGCUUUACACAUGCAAGUCGAACGGUAACAGGGAGCUUGCUCCGCUGACGAGUGGCGAACGGGUGAGUAAUGCGUCGGAACGUGCCGAGUAGUGGGGGAUAACGCAUCGAAAGGUGUGCUAAUACCGCAUACGUACUGAGGUAGAAAGUGGGGGACCUUCGGGCCUCACGCUAUUCGAGCGGCCGACGUCUGAUUAGCUAGUUGGUGAGGUAAAGGCUCACCAAGGCGACGAUCAGUAGCGGGUCUGAGAGGAUGGUCCGCCACACUGGGACUGAGACACGGCCCAGACUCCUACGGGAGGCAGCAGUGGGGAAUUUUGGACAAUGGGCGCAAGCCUGAUCCAGCCAUGCCGCGCGUCUGAAGAAGGCCUUCGGGUUGUAAAGGACUUUUGUCCGGGAGCAAAUGCCUGGUGUUAAUAGCACUGGGAGCUGAGAGUACCGGAAGAAUAAGCACCGGCUAACUACGUGCCAGCCGCCGCGGUAAUAC